UUCAAACUUUGAACUCUACCCAGUAGCCACCUUCAAUCUAAAAGCUCAAAGAAAAUGGUGUCGGAAACAAUGGAGUCGAUAAUCCUUCAGCUUCACGACAUCGCCGCCGUUAAAUUCGGCGAAUUCAAGCUCAAAUCCGGUAUCUUUUCCCCAAUCUACAUUGACCUCCGGUUAAUCGUUUCAUACCCUUCGAUUCUCCGUCAGAUUUCACAAAUUCUGGUUGGUUCACUGCCGGAAUCUACCAAAUACGAUGUUGUUUGCGGUGUACCGUACACGGCGUUGCCUAUUGCGACGUGUAUCUCAACUGCACAUGACUUGCCGAUGGUAAUGCGGAGGAAAGAGGUUAAGGAUUAUGGAACUGCUAAGGCUAUUGAAGGUGCUUUUGAACCGGGUCAAGCUUGUCUUAUUGUUGAGGAUUUGGUUACUAGUGGUGCUUCGGUACUUGAGACUGCUGCUCCUCUUCGUGCUGUUGGAUUGAAGGUUACUGAUGCUGUUGUCAUGAUUGACAGAGAGCAAGGAGGAAGGGAAAAUUUGGCUGAUAAUGGAAUCACAUUGCAUUCAAUGGUGAAACUUACUGAGAUGGUGAGGAUACUAAAGGAAAAGGGUAGGGUUUCAGAGGAAACAGAAAAAAUGGUGAAGAAAUUCUUGGAGGAGAAUCGCAAGGUUGCGGUUCCUGCACCAGUGAAGGAAACAAAGGUCAAGACCAGAUUACCAUAUGACGAGCGGGCAAAGACUGCAAAGAACCCUACUGGGAAGAAGUUGUUUGAAAUCAUGGUGCAGAAGAACACUAAUUUGUGUUUGGCUGCCGAUGUGGCCACAGCUGCUGAACUACUGGAUAUUGCUGACAAGGUUGGACCUGAAAUCUGCAUGUUAAAAACACAUGUUGAUAUAUUGCCUGAUUUUACUCCUGACUUUGGUUCUAAGCUUAGAUCGAUUGCAGACAAGCACAACUUCUUAAUAUUUGAAGAUCGUAAAUUUGCUGACAUUGGAAAUACAGUGACAAUGCAAGCUGAAGGAGGUAUCUUCCGCAUUUUAGAUUGGGCUGAUGUAAUUAAUGCACACAUUAUUUCUGGUCCAGGAAUUGUUGAUGGUCUGAAACUGAAGGGAUUGCCGCGUGGAAGGGGCCUGCUGCUUCUUGCUGAAAUGAGUUCUGCGGGUAACCUAGCCACAGGGGAUUACACAGCAGCAGCAGUAAAAAUUGCCGAGGAUCACUCGGAUUUUGUCAUUGGGUUCAUCUCUGUGAAUCCUGCUUCAUGGCCCAAUGGACCUGGAAACCCAUCCUUCAUCCACGCUACACCUGGUGUUCAAUUGGUAAAAGGAGGAGAUGCCCUAGGCCAACAAUAUAACACUCCAAAUUCAGUAAUUGGUGAUAGAGGCAGUGACAUUAUUAUUGUUGGCCGUGGAAUUAUAAAGGCUGCUAACCCUGCAGAAGCAGCUCGUGAAUACCGGCUUCAAGGUUGGGAUGCAUAUUUGGUUAACACCAAGUAAGAGUCAGUUGUAGUAGUAGGGAGGACGACGGGGGGCUUUCGAGCCAGGAGUUCCUUCCAGUUUUUUGUUUUUCCUUUUGAUCACGCCUUUUUCGCCCUUCCACAGCCAGUUGGGGCUCGAAAUUGAGUGUUGAUUCUAGAUGUGUGCUUUCUAGACUACCAUUUUCCAUCUCUGAUGAUUUGAAUAACUAGAUGCAUUGAAAUACAAUGAGUU
rnacentral:misc_RNA from 1 species